UACGGGGGGAGCAAGCGUUGUUCGGAUUUACUGGGCGUAAAGGGCGCGUAGGCGGCACCGCAAGUCGACUGUGAAAUCUCCGGGCUUAACCCGGAAAGGUCAGCCGAUACUGCGGGCUAGAGUGCAGAAGGGGCAACUGGAAUUCUCGGUGUAGCGGUGAAAUGCGUAGAUAUCGAGAGGAACACCUGCGGCGAAGGCGGGUUGCUGGGCUGACACUGACGCUGAUGCGCGAAAGCUAGGGGAGCGAAC
rnacentral:rRNA from 1 species